AUAGUGCAACCGUGUGGCUUAAUAGAGAAGAACUUUGAAGAGAGAGUUCAAUAGUACGUGAAACCGUUCAGGGGUAAACCUGAAAAACCCGAAAGGUCGAAAGGGGAGAUUCAGCGCGACCGGGGCUCGCGAGCGGCGUGAGUCGUGUGACGGGCGGUCCCUUCGGGUGGCCAGCUCGCUCGUCACGUCGAACGAUCGGGCAUUGGACGCGUGCACUUCUCCUCCUGUAGGACGUCGUGACCCGUUGGGCGUCGGUUUAAGGCUCGCGGUGGAGACCGAACGCCAUUUCGUGCGUUCGGACCCGCGGUGUCCCGACCGGCUCGACCGACGGUAUAACUAAGGCGUGGGGCCGCGACCUGUUCGCGUCCGGCGCGUCGCAAGCGCGAACGUCAAUCGGGGCGUCCGGGCCUGGUACCGGAUCUUCGAACGUUCGGCUGUUGGCGGCGUUGUUCUCGGACAGACCCCAUACACGCCAGUCUACGGCGCUAUAGCUUUG
rnacentral:rRNA from 1 species